rnacentral:misc_RNA from 1 species
GCCUGUUCGAGCGUCAUUUAAACCUUCAAGCCCCGCUUGGUCUUGGGCGCAGGUCGACGAGACCCGCCCGUAACUCGUUGGUGGCCGGCUCCGGCCCCGAGCGUAGCAGAAAUCUUUCGCUCGCGGUCCGGCGCCUCCCUCCGGAAACACAUCCAUCAAAGUUUGACCUCGGAUCAGGUAGGGAUACCCGCUGAACUUAA